rnacentral:rRNA from 1 species
AUUGAAAUUCGGCACAGCUUGUACAGGAUAGGUAGGAGCCUUUGAAACGUGAGCGCUAGCUUACGUGGAGGCGCUGGUGGGAUACUACCCUAGCUGUGUUGGCUUUCUAACCCGCACCACUUAUCGUGGUGGGAGACAGUGUCAGGCGGGCAGUUUGACUGGGGCGGUCGCCUCCUAAAAGGUAACGGAGGCGCUCAAAGGUUCCCUCAGAAUGGUUGGAAAUCAUUCAUAGAGUGUAAAGGCAUAAGGGAGCUUGACUGCGAGACCUACAAGUCGAGCAGGGUCGAAA